AUAAUGGGUCAGCGACUUAUAUUCUGUAGCAAGGUUAACCGAAUAGGGGAGCCGAAGGGAAACCGAGUCUUAACUGGGCGUUAAGUUGCAGGGUAUAGACCCGAAACCCGGUGAUCUAGCCAUGGGCAGGUUGAAGGUUGGGUAACACUAACUGGAGGACCGAACCGACUAAUGUUGAAAAAUUAGCGGAUGACUUGUGGCUGGGGGUGAAAGGCCAAUCAAACCGGGAGAUAGCUGGUUCUCCCCGAAAGCUAUUUAGGUAGCGCCUCGUGAAUUCAUCUCCGGGGGUAGAGCACUGUUUCGGCAAGGGGGUCAUCCCGACUUACCAACCCGAUGCAAACUGCGAAUACCGGAGAAUGUUAUCACGGGAGACACACGGCGGGUGCUAACGUCCGUCGUGAAGAGGGAAACAACCCAGACCGCCAGCUAAGGUCCCAAAGUCAUGGUUAAGUGGGAAACGAUGUGGGAAGGCCCAGACAGCCAGGAUGUUGGCUUAGAAGCAGCCAUCAUUUAAAGAAAGCGUAAUAGCUCACUGGUCGAGUCGGCCUGCGCGGAAGAUGUAACGGGGCUAAACCAUGCACCGAAGCUGCGGCAGCGACGCUUAUGCGUUGUUGGGUAGGGGAGCGUUCUGUAAGCCUGCGAAGGUGUGCUGUGAGGCAUGCUGGAGGUAUCAGAAGUGCGAAUGCUGACAUAAGUAACGAUAAAGCGGGUGAAAAGCCCGCUCGCCGGAAGACCAAGGGUUCCUGUCCAACGUUAAUCGGGGCAGGGUGAGUCGACCCCUAAGGCGAGGCCGAAAGGCGUAGUCGAUGGGAAACAGGUUAAUAUUCCUGUACUUGGUGUUACUGCGAAGGGGGGACGGAGAAGGCUAUGUUGGCCGGGCGACGGUUGUCCCGGUUUAAGCGUGUAGGCUGGUUUUCCAGGCAAAUCCGGAAAACUAAGGCUGAGGCGUGAUGACGAGGCACUACGGUGCUGAAGCAACAAAUGCCCUGCUUCCAGGAAAAGCCUCUAAGCAUCAGGUAACAUCAAAUCGUACCCCAAACCGACACAGGUGGUCAGGUAGAGAAUACCAAGGCGCUUGAGAGAACUCGGGUGAAGGAACUAGGCAAAAUGGUGCCGUAACUUCGGGAGAAGGCACGCUGAUAUGUAGGUGAAGCGACUUGCUC
rnacentral:rRNA from 1 species